ensembl:rRNA 5S_rRNA 5S ribosomal RNA
GUUUACGGCCAUACCAGCCUGGGUACGCCCGAUCUUGUCUGAUCUCGGAAGCUAAGCAGGGUCGGGCCUGGUUAGUACUUGGAUGGGAGACCGCCUGGGAAUACCAGGUGCUGUAAGCU